rnacentral:snRNA from 1 species
AGCUUUGCGCAGUGGCAGUAUCGUAGCCAAUGAGGUUUAUCCGAGGCGCGAUUAUUGCUAAUUGAAAACUUUUCCUAAAUUUUAGAAUCUGAACUUUUUUAACCACAACUCGGUG